AGCGCAGGCGGAUAGGUCAGUUUAAAGUGGAAUCCCAGGGCUCAACCCUGGACGUGCUUUGGAUACUGCCUGUCUUGAGUUCGUGAGAGGAAAGUGGAAUUCAGGGUGUAGCGGUGAAAUGCUUAGAUAUCCUGAGGAACACCAGUGGCGAAAGCGACUUUCUGGCACGUAACUGACGCUGAGGCUCGAAAAGCAUGGGUAGCAACG
rnacentral:rRNA from 1 species